GUUGUGUCAAUUUAUCAAAC
rnacentral:miRNA from 1 species